UACGUAGGUGGCAAGCGUUAUCCGGAAUUAUUGGGCGUAAAGCGCGCGCAGGUGGUUAAUUAAGUCUGAUGUGAAAGCCCACGGCUUAACCGUGGAGGGUCAUUGGAAACCGGUUGACUUGAGUGCAGAAGAGGGAAGUGGAAUUCCAUGUGUAGCGGUGAAAUGCGUAGAGAUAUGGAGGAACACCAGUGGCGAAGGCGGCUUCCUGGUCUGCAACUGACACUGAGGCGCGAAAGCGUGGGGAGCAAACAGG
rnacentral:rRNA from 1 species